UGUGUGUGUAGUGCUCUG
rnacentral:miRNA from 1 species